rnacentral:rRNA from 1 species
AUAAGUUAUUAAGGGCGCAGGGCGGAUGCCUGGGCGCCGGGAACCGAAGAAGGACGCGGCCGGCUGCGAAAAGCCGCGGGGAGCUGCGAGCAAGCGUAGAUCCGCGGAUGUCCGAAUUGGAGAACCUUCCGGAGUGAGCCUCCGGAACACGCGUUUGAAUAUAUAGAACGCAUGUGAGGGAACCCGGGGAACUGAACCAUCUAAGUACCCGGAGGAAGAGUAAGCAACAGCGAUUUCCUUAGUAGCGGCGAGCGAAACGGAAAGAGGCCUAAACCUGAAUCGUGCACAAGCCUGGCGGCGUUGCGGUUCGGGGGUUGAUGGGAGACGUUUUUCUUGCGGUCGCCAGAGCGCAAGGAGUUUGGAGCGAGCUUGAAGUCCGAGUCCCCUGGAACGGGGCGCGAGACGGGGUGACAGCCCCCUGGACGCAAGGGCUUGUCCUGCUUGGACGUCAUAUCCCGAGUACCGCGGAAUCCGAGAAAGUCCGCGGGAAUCAGCGGGGACCUUCCCGCAAGGCAAAAUAUUACCCGGCGACCGACAGUGAAGCAGUACCGUGAGGGAAAGGUGAAAAGCAUGCCGUCGAGGCAAGUGAAAAAGUACCUGAAACCCUGCGCCUACAAGUCAGCUGUAGGGCCAUGCCAUGCUAUAAGCGUGGAAAGCCUGACAGCGUGCCUAUAGAAGAAUGAUCCGACGAGUUGCCGCGGCGCGGCGAGGUUAAGGCCUCAAUGCCGGAGCCGAAGCGAAAGCGAGUCUUAAUAGGGCUAGAGUCGCGCGCGGCAGACCCGAAACCGGGUGAGCUACCCCCGGCCAGGAUGAAGCUCCGGUAACACGGAGUGGAGGUCCGGAUGCCUCAACGCUGAAAAGUUGAGCAAUGAGCCGCGGGUAGGGGUGAAAAGCCAAACGAACCCGGAUAUAGCUGGUUCUCCCCGAAAUAGUUUUAGGACUAGCCUCGGCUGAGAGUCUGACGGAGGUAGAGCACUGAAUGGGCUAGGGGGCUCACCCGCCUGCCAACCCCAAUCAAACUCCGAAUGCCGUCAGAUGUUCGCCGGGAGUCAGGCACGGUGAGAUAAGUUUCCGUGUCGCGAGGGAAACAGCCCAGACCGCCGUCUAAGGCCCCCAAGUUAUACGCUGAGUGGAAAAGGAUGUGGAGGUCCCCAGACAGCCGGGAGGUUGGCUUAGAAGCAGCCACUCCUUGAAAGAGUGCGUAACAGCUCACCGGUCGAGGGCUUCCGCGCCGAAAAUGUAACGGGGCUAAGCGUAUCGCCGAAGACGCGGGUUCAUUACAGAUUCGUUCUGUUUUGGGCGGUAGGGGAGCGUUGUGUGAGGGCAGAAUGCGUACCGCGAGGAGCGCAGGACUUCACAGAAGUGAGAAUGUCGGAACGAGUAGCGAUAAGACGGGCGAGAAACCCGUCCGCCGAAAACCCGAGGUUUCCCGGGGCAGGUUAAUCCUCCCGGGGUCAGUCGGUCCUAAGCCGAGGCCGAAAGGCGCAGGCGACAGGGCAACAGGCGAACAUUCCUGUACCGUUGAUAGUCCGUAUGGCAAACGGAGUGACGCGGAAGGUCAGGCCGGCGGGGGUAUGGAACCCCGCGUCUUGAGACGAGCGAGGAGAGACAGGCAAAUCCGUCUUUCCGCUUGAUGCGAGUCUUGAGAGCAAAACCGAAAAGAGUAGGUUGAGCCGAGCUAAUAUCACGCCGCCGAGAAAAGCUUCUAUGCCGGACGUCAGCGACCGUACCGCAAACCGACACAGGUGGGUAGGGAGAGAAUCCUAAGGCGCUCGAAAGAACCCGUGUUAAGGAACUCGGCAAAUUGACUCCGUAACUUUGGAAGAAGGAGUGCCCGCACGCCUUGACGGCGAGCUUCUUGUGCAAAUGAGAAGCGCCGGAGGGGAAGCGGGCCGCAGAAACCAGGUCCGGGCGACUGUCUAUCAAAAACACAGGACUCUGCUAAGGCGCGAGCCGACGUAUAGGGUCUGAUGCCUGCCCAAUGCCGGAAGGUUACGGGGAGGAGUCAGGGAGCUGUAAGGCUUCCGAAGCUCUGAACUUAAGCCCCGGUGAAUGGCGGCCGUAACUAUAACGGUCCUAAGGUAGCGAAAUCCCUUGUCAGGUAAGUUCUGACCCGCAUGAAUGGCGUAACGGUCCGGACACUGUCUCAACACGGGAUUCGGCGAAACUGUGCAACGGGUGAAGACGCCCGUUAUCCGCAUCAGGACAAGAAGACCCCGUGGAGCUUUACUGUAGCUUGAUAUUGGAUUUUGGUCUGUCAUGUAGAGAAUAGGCGGGAGACAUUGAACGCGGGGCGUCAGCUUCGCCGGAGUCGCCUGUGGAAUACCGCCCUUGGCAGCCCGGACUUCUAACCUGGAUUCCCGCAGCAACGGGAUCGGGGACAGUUUCAGGCGGGCAGUUUGACUGGGGCGGUCGCCUCCCAAACAGUAACGGAGGCGUUCAAAGGUUCCCUCAGCGUGAUUGGAAACCACGCGGAGAGCGCAAAGGCAAAAGGGAGCUUGACUGCGAGGCAAACGAGCCGAGCAGGGACGAAAGUCGGACUUAGUGAUCCGGUGGCGCCGGAAGGAAGGGCCAUCGCUCAACGGAUAAAAGCUACCCCGGGGAUAACAGGCUUAUCU